rnacentral:rRNA from 1 species
GACGAACGCUGGCGGCGUGCUUAACACAUGCAAGUCGAACGGUGAAGCGCCUUUCUUUUUGGUGGGUGUGGAUGAGUGGCGAACGGGUGAGUAACACGUGAGUAACCUGCCCCCUUCUUCUGGAUAACCGCAUGAAAGUGUGGCUAAUACGGGAUAUUCUGGGUCUGUCGCAUGAUGGGUCUGGGAAAGAUAUUGUUUCGGUGGGGGAUGGGCUCGCGGCCUAUCAGCUUGUUGGUGGGGUGAUGGCCUACCAAGGCGGUGACGGGUAGCCGGCCUGAGAGGGUGGACGGUCACACUGGGACUGAGACACGGCCCAGACUCCUACGGGAGGCAGCAGUGGGGAAUAUUGCACAAUGGGCGCAAGCCUGAUGCAGCGACGCCGCGUGAGGGAUGGAGGCCUUCGGGUUGUGAACCUCUUUCGCCAGUGAAGCAGGCCUGCCUCGUUUGUGGGUGGGUUGACGGUAGCUGGAUAAGAAGCGCCGGCUAACUACGUG